ACCUGGCUGGUUCAGUUAGAAGAACAUGUGACUCUUGAUCUCAGAGUUUGAGUUCAAGCCUCGCGUUGGGUA
rnacentral:tRNA from 1 species